rnacentral:lncRNA from 1 species
GCAAAGAAAUGUGCUCAAGAAAACAAGAGGCAAAACAAGGUUCUCUCUGAAGCACAUAAAUUUAAGGAGCUGACAAUGAAAGACAUGAGUGAGUGGAAAGAGAGAAGCAGCUCUCAGCGGCAGAGAAGAAAUUGAAAUCGGCUGCAGAAAAACCAGACAACUACAAAUCAAGGCCCGGAUUUUGGAGAGGGAGAUAGUGGAGCAGAGCAGGGGAGCCGCUCACUUGAAAUACAGAUUGGAGAUAAUGCCCAAAAAGAGGCUGCCUGAGGGAUACAGGCGGCACAAACCAAUUUCGGGAAGACCUGGGAUGCAGAACCCUGCACAGAGAGAUGCGGGACCCGGUUCUGCGGCUCCCCGGAAGGACAGCGGCUCCCGCCCCCCGGAGCAGGCGGCUGCAGCGGCGCAGCAGCAGGCCGUGGGCAAGAGGAAUGUUGAAGCAAGAGGGCCUCCUCCUUUCGAAGGACCAUCUGGCAUGGCCAGCUUUAUGGGGCUGCCCUUUGUUUCCACUCACAGGCUCUGGGCCACCUCCACCUCCUCCACCCCGGUGGCCUCUAGGACCUCACCCUCCACCUUCACCUGCUCCCCUCGGUGAGAUGAUCUGAAGAGUGUAAAGUUGACGUGUAAAGCGUGUUCAUCUUUUUUCAUACGGAAUUUUUGGGAAAAUGUAGAGCUGGUACUGAGGGCUUUGCAAUGCAAGGGUAAACCUGGCUGACGACGCUGUAAUGUUCCUCGAGUUUCUCGAGACAGAUGUCUCAUAGGCUGUGUCAUUUCUCCAUCCUGAGCUGUGGAGAAGGAAAGAGGCUUUUUAUAGAAAGACAGAAAGGAUGGUUCUGCAGAUGCUCAUUGUACAGAGACCACAUGCCAGACUCUGUGAGGAAUGAGGUGCACCCCUAACCUCAAGGGCUUAAUGUGUCCUAGAGCAGAG